GAUUAGUGGCGAACGGGUGAGUAACACGUGAGUAACCUGCCCCUUACUUUCCUGGAUAACUGCUCGAAAGGGUAGCUAAUACGGGAUAUUCUGACUAGCCUGCAUGGGUUGGUUUGGAAAGGUUAUUUUUUUUCUGGUAAGGGAUGGGCUCGCGGCCUAUCAGCUUGUUGGUGGGGUGAUGGCCUACCAAGGCUUUGGCGGGUAGCCGGCCUGAGAGGGUGGACGGUCACACUGGGACUGAGAUACGGCCCAGACUCCUACGGGAGGCAGCAGUGGGGAAUAUUGCACAAUGGGCGCAAGCCUGAUGCAGCGACGCCGCGUGAGGGAUGAAGGCCUUCGGGUUGUAAACCUCUUUCGUCAGGGAACAAGGCACUGCUUUUUUGGUGGUGUUGAGGGUACCUGGAUAAGAAGCGCCGGCUAACUACGUGCCAGCAGCCGCGGUAAUACGUAGGGCGCAAGCGUUGUCCGGAAUUAUUGGGCGUAAAGAGCUCGUAGGCGGCUGGUCGCGUCUGUCGUGAAAACUUCCGGCUCAACCGGGGGCUUGCGGUGGGUACGGGCCGGCUAGAGUGCGGUAGGGGUAACUGGAACUCCUGGUGUAGCGGUGGAAUGCGCAGAUAUCGGGAAGAACACCGAUGGCGAA
rnacentral:rRNA from 1 species